GACGUUGAGUUGCGUUUUCGCGAUCAACUGCACGUCGCCCUGUUUUGCAAAUAAGUCACAAUUGUUGUUAUUGUUGUUGUUGUUGUUGUUGUUGUUCGCUGUUUACUAUUGGCUACCCAUAUUGGCGCUGACGCUGACCGCGGCACGUGCCGUUCAAUCUGUGAACGACUUCGCAGUCGCCGCCCCCGCCGCAGACGCUUCGCUAUUGACUUUUGCUCAGCCUCACACAGCACUUGAUUUACACAUGCACAUCACUGCACGAGACUGCUGUGCUGAUGUGAUUUUUAAAAGGAAUUUCCGUUGCAACUUGACUGUUGUGGUUUGGACCCCCUACUAUAUAUAAGGUGUCCAAGCACUCGACUAGAAGAUACCCUGCUCAAAAUGAUGUCUACAAAAUUUACGAGAUUUAUUUAAUUUAAUUUAAUUUUGUAUUUAUUUUUAGUCUAC